CGCACAUUGCACCUUUUGGUAUUCCGAAAGGUAUGCUUGUUCGAGCGUCGUUUAAACUCUAUCAAUUUAAUUAUUGAUGUCUUGAGAUUUUCUUUCUCUUAGCUGCGAAAGGUCUCCAAAAUAAGUGAAGCGAUUUAGAAUAUUGAUUUAGAUUGAACGCAUUAAAGUUUUACUACUACGUACAAAUAAAAUCAUUCUAGACCAGCCAGAUCAAAAACAAUUCAUCUGAUGUAUAUUUAAUUAUAUGUCUGAUGGACAACUCUUUUAUUAUCGACCUCGAAUCAAGUAGGAUUACCCGCUGAACUUAA
rnacentral:misc_RNA from 1 species